UCCUGACGAACCACGGGGCUCCGACGGCU
rnacentral:sRNA from 1 species